rnacentral:rRNA from 1 species
UGGGGAAUAUUGGACAAUGGGGGAAACCCUGAUCCAGCAAUGCCGCGUGUGUGAAGAAGGCCUCAGGGUUGUAAAGCACUUUCAGUUGGGAGGAACAAUUUAUGGUUAAUAACCGUAAAUUUUGACGCUACCAACAAAAGAAGGACCGGCUAACUCCGUGCCAGCAGCCGCGGUAAUACGGAGGGUCCAAGCGUUAAUCGGAAUUACUGGGCGUAAAGCGCACGCAGGUGGAUGAGCAAGUUGGAUGUGAAAGCCCUGGGCUUAACCUGGGAACUGCAUUCAAAACUACUCGUCUAGAGUACGGGAGAGGGAAGUGGAAUUUCCGGUGUAGCGGUGAAAUGCGUAGAUAUCGGAAGGAACACCAGUGGCGAAGGCGACUUCCUGGACUGAUACUGACACUCAGGUGCGAAAGCGUGGGGAGCAAACA